CUGGCUCUGGAAAGCUGAAAGGGCUGCACUGGAACAACGCAGAUGAGGUAUUCUACACAUUAAUCUACUUAUCUGGAAGCACUUUGCCUCUAAAGGCCGGAGGAAAAUCACAGAUUCCUUGUCAGAGGGGAAGAGGAAGGUGUUCUGGGGAAAACACAGCUACACCUGAGCAAGAUCUCUCCCCGGCUUGGCAAUCCCAGCUGUGCCGGCGCUCCAGGAUCCCAGGCGUCCCAGAAACCAAAGGGCAGGCACGGCAGCGAACGCCAGAGUGUUGCUGCCUUCGGUGACUAUGUGAGAAUGGAAACUUCUAAGGAAGCCAGGUUGUUAGGAUUGUUACUCCCUUUAGUCAAAGAUAACGUAGAUUAUUAUCCAGACUGAGAUGGAAAACAAGCCUUGUAUUGAAUUUUCAACACAGACUCCCUGCUUCUCAUCUCCUUAAUAAAAUUUCAUUAAAAUCCCCUUCAAUUCCCAUGUUCAAAUCUCCAUUUGUUGACAGACAAGGCCAAGAAUACUCCAAACUGAGGCAUCUAAGCCAUUUCAUUUGUAUUCUGGUCCAGAAAUUUCCCAUAGGAAGACUUCACCUCCUGCAACUUUGAAGAAAACUAUCUUACUGCCCAAGACAAUCACCAACAAUCAUCCACAAAGUCAUUUGAGUUGAAGCUUUCACAGCUUUUGUCCAUUCUGUGUGUCAACAUACAACUGAGUUACAGACUGUCCCCUGGCUCUCUGACCCUUACAAACUCUGCAAGUUUUGUUUGACUCAA